UUUGACCCGCGCGUCCGCGCGGGUGUUUGCUUUAUUUUUUUUAUAAAUCAAAUAGAAUUGGUUAUAUAUUUUCAAAUGUAUUUAUAUGAUGUUGGUAUCCAUUCGGGUUCGAAUACCCAUUUGGGUUCGUUUCAGAUCUAUUCGGAUUUUAGAUUUUUUCAGUUUGAAGGAAUUCAACCCUAUUUAUGUAUUUAUAAAUUUUGAACCAAGUUCGGUUUGAUCUUUGUAGGUUCGAUUCGGUUUCCGAUAACGAAUUUAAAUGAUGUUUAAAAAUUUAAAAUCAUGUAUAAUUUAAUUUUCUCAAAAUCAAAAAAUAAAAAUUAAUAUAUAACACGAAAAAUAUCUAAAUUUAACAUAAAAAAUUAGUUUAAAAUAUUUAGAUGGGCAACCAAUAUAUACUUUAAGUAGUUUUGGUUAUUUAAGUAUUGUUUAGCUAUUUUAAAUAUUUACUUUUGACCGGUUUUGGUUCGGGUUUUGAUACUAUUUUUUUGGACCGGAUUUAGUUUGGUUCUUCGGAUUUGGGAAUCCAAGUUUUAUCCCAACAAUUUUGCAUAAUAAAAUUUUUGGAUAUUCAACAAUCAAAACGAUAUCAUAUAUAGUUCACCUUUUGUAUGAUAAUAUUUUUGGUUGUCUCCACAAACAUUUAACUAAUUUAUACCUAGUUUUUAUUUUGUAAUAACAAUUUAAAUAUAUUGUAUACAUUUUUAUUUAAUGUAAAUCUAUAACAAUAUAUAUCUUUUCAAUUUAUUUUAUAUGUAGUUUAAUUUGUUAUCAGUUGGUAAUACAUAUCAAUAAAAUUUCACAAAAUUUUCCAUACUAAAUUUAUUAUGAAAUAACAAAAUCAAAAAACACCCAUAACAUAUAAAAAGAAAUAUUGUAAGAAAUUAUUUAAUUAUAUUUUAAAUUUAAAAACUACAUAAAUUAUUUUUUUUAUUCUUAAGAAUCAGUAGAAAUUAAAAUUAUAAUUAUAUUAACAUCAUUUAGCAUAUUUCUAUUUAGAAUUCCAUAUAUCGACAUAUAUAUAUAUAUUAUUAUUAUUAUUAUUAUAAAAUUGAAUUAUAUAAGACCAAAUAUAAUUUUAAAUACAUAAUUGUAUUACAUAUAAUUAAUAUUGGACACAAUAUUUAGAAUUUUGACGCUUUCCAUGAUAACUUCGUAAGCUUCCGCCAUGGGUUCGAUUCUCCUUGGCCACUCAUAGACGUUUUAAGUGGCAAGAAAACCCAGAUUUCUAUGGGCCUUUUGGUGAUUAGUUCUUUGGCCUAGAAAGUCUUUGGGAUCACACCAAGGUUAUAAAAAAAAACUUCGUAUUUUCAUAAUUGAUAUUGUAUUAGUUAUGAUGCUAGCGUCGAAAUAGGUAAAUUUUCUGAAUGGUAUUGAUUUAGGAAGUUAUCUCUCUUUCUGAUUUAGUGCACCAAUAUAUUUUAAAGAUACUAACUAUAAUAUCUUUAAUUACGAUUAUUAUCUAUAACAUUUUAAUAUAUGAAUAUUAUGAUUUUUUGGGUUUGUAGGAAUUUGAUUAUGUUUGUCAAAUUAAUUUUGCCGGUUUACGUCUGUCUAUUUAAGUUCGCUGGUUUUAUAAUGUUAUAAACGAUGACUGUCAUACAUAAUAAUAAAAAGUUAGUACUAAAUACCAAAUGUAUUUCUAUUUUAAUAAUUUAGAUAAAAUAAUUUUAUUGAUAUGAUUUACUAUUUACGUAUAUAAUAGUUAGGUAGUUAUGAAUUUUGUGUGCCUAUAAUUAAGGCGAUUAAUCACGCACAUAUGCUGAAUUCCUAUUAUCUACAAUUAAAUUAAAUCUAUAGGAACAAAGAAUUUGGAAUGAUGGUGAAUCAUGCAGAAGAUACUAUAAAAAAUAGUGGUUAUCUAAAUUAUAGGAACUUGUUAGUAAUUAUUUCAUUUACGGAAAUCAAGCUUUAUUGUGAAUAGUAAAUUUUCGUUAGAUCAAUUGAUUAUCUUUAUACCAGCAAUAUAUUGUUUACAUAUACAUGAUUGUGAAUCACAAUUUGUGAUAUCUUGUUUAGCAUGUAUAUACUGUUUAUAUGAUGAUCUCCAUAUGCUUAAGAAAUCGUGAUGAAUAGUUUGGUUUGGUUUGUAAUUGGCAGUUCUAAUAGAAAAAACUACCGGUCGUACGUUUAGUGGAGUAUUGGAUUGGAAUAAUUAUGUGCUGGUUCACUACAAGAAAACAUAUCACAUUGUGACCACUUUUUUGACAAGGAAAAAUGAUCAAAAAUAAUUAUCACCUAAUUUUGACCAUUUUGUGAUGAAUACGAAAAAUGGUCAGAAAAUGAUUAGAAAAUUUUAACCAAAACAUAUGGUCAGAAAAUGGUCAGCAAAUAUAUCACAUUUUGACCAAGUUUCCGACCAGCAUAUAUGGUCACAAAUAAUUAUGUCCAUGUUCUGAUCACUUUGUGAUGAAUGAAAAAAAUGGUCAGAAAAUGGUAAAAAUGUUUUAACCAAAACAUAUAGUCAAAAAGUGGUCACAAAAUUUUGACCAUAUUCUUACCACUUUCUAACAAUUUCCUCAUUAACCUAGAUCUGAAAUUUUAUUUUCACAUUCUCAUCAGUUCAGUUUUCUUCUCAAGCGGCGCCACUGAGCUUCCUUUCUCUAUUUCUUUCUUUUUUUUUUUUUUUCUAAUUUCCUUCUUCUUCUCUGUCACUCCAUCAUUGUAACCUCUCUUUUUUCUUCAUUGCAGGUCAAGUUUAAGAAGCUUGUUACUUCUACUCACCCUUGCUUCAGUCAACAUUCCUCUGCUCCUUGCAAGGAAAGGAUUCGUUGAGACAAUGGAAAAAGACAAGACCAAGAAGAACAAGGAAUUAAGAAAUGGUGGAUCCAUGACGAGUGUCCUAUUUUGUUUUUAGUUAUUUUCAUUAUGUGUAUUCUUAUGUCGCUAAACAUCAAUUGUUUUAUUUAAAAUAACAAUUAUUUGAAAUUUAUUCAUAUUUCAUUAAAUUUUACUAUUUCCAUAAUGUCAUACAAUUAUUAUUUAUUUACAAUAUUCUGAACAAUUAUUAAAUAGUAGUCAAAAAUCAAUACAAAAAGUGGUCAUAAAUUUAUCAGAAAUUGCUAAUUAUUUUUGACCAUUUACUGACAAUUUUUUUUGACGAAAUUUCUAACCCUUACUAUGGUCAAAAAUUUAUGACUACUUUAUGACCAUAAUCAAUUUCUGACGGAGUAUUUUUGACAAAUUAAUGUGGUCAGAAAGUAGUCAAAACAGAGUGUUUCUGACCAUUUUAUAACGAAAUUGAUGGUCAAAAAUUGAACUAUUUCUUGUAGUGGUUGCUCAACUAUUAAAACUGGAGUAUUGGUUUCGAAUGAUGUAAGUACGUGCUGGUCUAAUUUUUUUAAUACGAUUGUAUAUGGAACGGGAUGGUUUAACGUUUUUUUGGUAUAGAAAAUAAAUGGGUUAAGGAAAGUGUAAAACUACUGUGUUUAAGGCCAGUGGCAUAUAAUUGUAAUUAUUAAGAAAAACUUAGGGUGAAGAUUUAUUUGUACUUCAGUUUUAAUAGUUUAGAUUUUAAAUUUAAAUCCAAAAAAAGUAAAAGUAGAACAUCAAAAUGAAAAUAGACUGAAGAUAACAAAAAUUAAAAUAAUACCAAAUCACAUCGAAUAAUUUUUAAUCUCUCUAUCAUCAUUCACUUAAGUUUAUUCAGAUGGUAUAUUAAAAAAUUUAACAAAAUUAAUAAGUCACAAAUAAAUUACGAAAUUCAAUCAAAAUUCUAAAAAUAACCAUCAUUUUUUUUUGGUUUGUCAUUUCAUCAUUUUGGGAUUUUUUCAGCAAGGACAUUUUCUAAUUCAUUAGAAUCAAUAAUAAAUACUGAAAACCAAAUUUCUUAUUUUAAAUACAAAACAGAUUUUAAUGCCGUAAUUAAAAAAAUCUAAGAAAAAGGUAAAAGUUACUUAUUGGUUCAACCAAUAGUUCAAUCAGAAAUUGGGUUCCACGUUUUAACGGGUUUUUGUUAUCGGACUCUUAAAUAAUAUAUAUUUUUUUAAACCCCAAACCAGAUUAUAUAUCGCAACACCGGGUUUGUUUGAUAGCGGGUCCAUGUUGGGUUUCAAAACACUGCGCAAAGGUGGAAUACUCAUUUCUUCCGUUUUUGAAACACUAUCUCAUUAGGUGGUAUUUUCAUCUAGAUGAAUUUUAGAUAAUCAAAAAUACAUUUUGAUAAACACUAUAGAUGAAAUCCCAAUUUUCAAUAAGGAAAUUUUUUAUGAGAAUUAUUUGUAUCAAUUAUUAAUCCAGUAAGUUUUGGAUUUGUAGGAUUUGCUUUUUUUUUUUAAACUGAUUUUUUCAAAUACAUAGUCCAAUAAGCCCUCUAAGAUAUUUUGGUUAAAAUCAUAAGAAUUAAGAAAUCUAUUUUUAUGUGAUGACAUCAUUAAUUAAUAAUAGAAAUUUAAAGUGAACUUCAAUCAUAAAUAAUGCAGUGACAUUUUAUUGGUUAACGAAUUUUUAAUAAAGUUUAAUUUUUUUAUAAAAAUAGCAAAAUAUCUUAGAUUUUGAAAUAUCAAUUUUUCUCUAAAAAAUCUUAAAUUAUAAACAGAUGAAGGGACAAUGGGCAUUUAAUUCCCGAAGUAUUUGAAAUCGGCAGUUUUAAUACUCAUCGGCAGUUUUAAUACUUAAGUAUGGCUUGCACAUAUUUAUUCUCCAACUAACAGUUGACUGCGCAAAAGUAAGAACAAAAUAGUCAACUGUUAACUAAUGAACGGAAAAAUAACGGUUUCCGCCAACUUUUUAACGGUAGAAUAUUCUAAUCAUGAUUUUGCGCAGUCAAUGAUUAGUUGGGGAAUAAAUAUGCGCAUUUAAUACUUGAGUAUUUAAUUUGCCGAUUGAAAAUACUUGAGGAAUUAAAAACUCAUUUUUUGCUUUAUAUUUCUUAUAAGAAUGAAAGUCACUAACAUCAAUCCCUUU